UUUUGGAAGCUUUUACAGCAUCAGAUUCUUACUCUGGGGAAGGUUUAAACCCCAAAAU
rnacentral:tRNA from 1 species